CCGGGGACAGUGGCGGAAGGGCGAGUAAUGCAUUCCUACGUACCCUCCGAUGGGGGAUAGGUCGGGGAAACCCGGCGUAAUACCCCAUGUGAUCUCCGGAUCAAAGGCUUCGGUUGCCUUGGGAGCGGGGAAUGUCCUAUCAGGUAGUUGGUGAGGUAAUGGCUCACCAAGCCGAAGACGGGUAGCGGGUGUGAGAGCACGACCCGCCGCAUCGGGACUGAGACACUGCCCGGACUCCUACGGGAGGCUGCAGUAACGAAUCUUCCGCAAUGCGCGAAAGCGUGACGGAGCAAUGCCGCGUGCAGGAUGAAUCCCCUUGGGGUGUAAACUGCUGUCCAGGGUUCAGGAAACAAAUGACCAGACCUAAAGGAAGGGCCGGCUAACUCUGUGCCAGCAGCCGCGGUAAUACAGAGGGCUCGAGCGUUGCGCGGAAUCACUGGGCUUAAAGCGUACGUAGGCGGAUCUAUAGGCAUCUUGUGAAAUCCCACGGUUUAACCGUGGAACUGCUCGAUGAACCAUAGCUCUUGAGGCAGGUAGGGGCUGUCGGAACGAUAGGUGGAGUGGUGAAAUGCGUAGAUAUCUAUCGGAACGCCAAAGGUGAAGACAGGCCACUGGGCCAAUUCUGACGCUGAGGCACGAAAGCGUGGGGAGCGAACGGGAUUAGAUACCCCGGUAGUCCACGCCCUAAACGAUGUGCACUAGGUCGCGGAGCCUCUGACACCUUCCUGGCCGCAGAGAAAUCAUUAAGUGCACCGCCUGGGGAGUACGGUCGCAAGGCUAAAACUCAAAGGAAUUGACGGGGGCUCACACAAGCGGUGGAGCAUGUGGCUUAAUUCGAGGCAACGCGAAGAACCUUACCUGGGUUUGACAUGCACGGAUUAGCUCGGUGAAAGUCGAGUGACACUUUUUAAGUGGAACGUGCACAGGUGCUGCAUGGCUGUCGUCAGCUCGUGCUGUGAAGUGUCGGGUUAAGUCCCUUAACGAGCGCAACCCCUAUCGUUAGUUACUAACGCGUAAUGGCGAGGACUCUAGCGAGACUGCCGGUGUUAAACCGGAGGAAGGUGGGGAUGACGUCAAGUCCUCAUGGCCCUUAUGUCCAGGGAUGCACACGUGCUACAAUGGUAGGUAUAGAGCGACGCGAGACCGCGAGGUGGAGCAAAUCGCAAAAAACCUGCCCCAGUUCGGAUUGCAGGCUGCAACUCGCCUGCAUGAAGUUGGAAUCGCUAGUAAUCGCGGAUCAGCUAUGCCGCGGUGAAUACGUUCCUGAGCUUUGUACACACCGCCCGUCAAGUCAUGGAAGCUGGGAGCGCCCGAAUUGCCGCGAUUCAGCGGUGCCGAAUGCAAG
rnacentral:rRNA from 1 species